CACGUAGGCGGAUCUUUAAGUCAGGGGUGAAAUCCUGGAGCUCAACUCCAGAACUGCCUUUGAUACUGGGGAUCUCGAGUCCGGAAGAGGUGAGUGGAACUCCGAGUGUAGAGGUGAAAUUCGUAGAUAUUCGGAAGAACACCAGUGGCGAAGGCGGCUCACUGGUCCGGUACUGACGCUGAGGUGCGAAAGCGUGGGGAGCAAACA
rnacentral:rRNA from 1 species